AAGACGAUCUCGAUAGUUUGGCCUACCUAAAGGCAGUCAUUAAAGAGACACUCCGGCUCCAUAUGCCUGGCCCCCUCCUCGUACCCCACCUCUCCAUGGCCGACUGUAACAUAAAGGGCUACACAAUACCAUCAGGAAUACGUGUUAUCAUCAACAGUUGGGCUCUUGCAAGGGACCCCAAUAGUUGGGAGCAUGCAGAUGAGUUCAUGCCUGAGCGCUUUAUGGAAUAUGGUAGUGCCGCAACUAUGGACUAUAAGGGAAAUGACUUCCUCUACUUGCCAUUUGGCACUGGGCGAAGGAUUUGCCCAGGUAUCAACUUUGCGAUUGCGACCAUUGAAAUCAUGCUAGCGAAUCUCAUGUACCACUUCAACUGGAAGCUACCAGUAGAGCUGAUGGAAGGUGGCAUCAAUAUGACUGAAUUAUUUGGGAUGACAGUGCAUCGGAAGGAGAAGCUCCUCCUUGUUCCCGUAGUGCCACAAGAUUAAUACAUUGGUCCAUUACAUUGUGUGUGCGUAGCAGAUUGAGUGCCUACCAUAAUAGUGCCGUGGAUGUGGCUUUUUGACUUCUUGUUGAGCACAAGUGUAAUCAAUAAUUAAGGAAAACAUUGCAAUAAAUUUGUAAACAUAUUCUUGACUAGCAAUUUGCACCACUACUUGAAUGCUCAUCCAUAGUGUUCUUCUUAGCAAUGAUCAACACUUCAUUGCACAACUUGUUUUAGUCAGAUAGAGACACCUUUCUUGGUUGCUCGAGUCACAAUCAUAGUGUCUUUGAUGCGGAUCUAUUUUACUCCACCAAUGUAACUGCCACUGAUAUCAUCAAGCUUGUAUACUAACAAUAGAUUCAGCGUUAUAUGAGGUAUAUGCCUCACAUCAUCAAGCACCACGCCACAACAUGUGUUUGUUUCAAUAGUACCCUUGUCGACAUUUUUUGACAACCCAAAGUUUUAGUACUGGUGUAUGAUGUGAAGUUCUCUCGUUGUAAUGUGAUGUGGAAGGACGCACACAAUAGUCUAGCUCAUGGCAUCAUCACAAAGAACUAUAUAUCAUUAUUCUUCUCCUGUGAUUAAGUAGUCCACACAUUGUGUACAUGUUUGAUCUGUUUUCUUUGUAACUUUUAUCCUUCCAGGCUCUUUUUAUAUUUCUUUGACUCGCUCUUUUGUGUCCCAGCUUGCCGCAUUGAAAGUAAGUAAACUUCUAUUUGUAUUAACUUGAUAUACCCAAUAUUAAUCUAUGCUGUCUGGCGUCAUGGUGGCGUUGAUGGCAGGCGUCGCAAGGUCAUUACAUUGAUUUCUCCUAAAGAUGGGUAUCCGAAAGACGAUGGCAGCGAAGACUUCUGGAGCGUGUAUGCUGGUACGCGCUAAGGGUCUGCCAAACCGGUUGUGCCACUUGUUCGCUACCGGGCGACUUGUCGUUGGGGCAUCUGGCUUUAGAUGUUGGGCUUUGGUGCGAUGUUUGUUUUGUAUUCGGUUCAGACAUUCGGCACCCCUUCAUCAAGGGGAUUGGAGUAGCGACAGGUGUUGUCAAGAUGGUGGCUUCAGGCUUACUGAUGUAUUACUUUGUAAGAUCUAUGUGAAUAAUUAAUAAAAUGGGUGCAUGCAUCACCCAGAUGCAGAGACAGGGGUAUAUCCUCCCUAAAAAAACUCGUAAAACGUCGAAUCGACAUAGAUGAAGAUGGCGAGGAUGAGCAGGCAGCUGCAGUACUUCCAUGAGUACCAGGGAAAGUUGUGCGCUCAUGUGGGCGCGUCCCAAGCCAUGUAGAUUGUGAGCAGGGCAAUGGUGCUCAUUAGUUAUCACCCUCAGUGGCAACGACUUCGUCAACAACUACUACCUCAUCCCCUUCUUCAUCGGAAUUUUUUUCAAGUGCGAACUUUUUGAAAAUUCUGAAUACUUUUGUUAAAUAUAGACAUUUUUUAAAAAUAUAAUAAAUUUUGAAAAGCAAACACUAUUUGAAACAUAAUUUUUUUUAAAAAAUGGGAACAAAUAUCUAAACUUGAACAAAAUAUUUAAAUGAUUAAACAAUGUAAAAAAAUAUUUGCACAGUUUUACAAAAUGUAAAAUGUGUAUUUGGCAAAAUGUUACUUUGUCUCAAAAAAAAUUGGCAAAAUAUUACCGUGUCACAUUUUUCAAUUUUUUUUUGAAUUUUCGUAAAUUAUUUUAAAAUAAAUAUUCGGUAUUUUAAAAUUGUUCCCAUUUUUUAAACAAAUGUUUCAAAAGCCCUGUUCAAGAAUUCAUCCGAUUAACCAGUUAACUUGCCGAUUAAUCCCUACUCGUAGGGUCAUCGAGUAGCCGAUUAACUAAUUAAUCGCCCAAGUAAUUGAUUAAAUGGCCGAUUAACUUGCCGAUUAGCCUAUUAAUCCCCUACUCGUCAGCCAACCGAGCAGCUACCAGUUAACGAUUUCCUCAACAAUGUUCAAAAGUUUAAAAAAUGUUUUCAUAUAUGAACACUCCUUUUGUUCUUAUAUAGGACACGCGAGAUGUAAUCACUAGUAGCCAUCAGGAUGAUUCGGUAGGUGCGGGCAUUGUGUGUUCGAGGCCUCGAGUCGGAGUACUAUCAAGCUCACUGUCUACUUCAACUAUUUUUUUGUCGCUCCUAAUAGAAGACAAGUGGGCUUAUGUAGUUUUAAAAAAAUUAUUCUCAUGACAAAAAAUAAUAUCAGUACGAAAAUGUAAAACAGACAAAAGGAAAAGAAAAAAAAGAAAAUCAAAAAAUAGCAAGCCAGAGCGACGGAGUUAAUGGGCCGGCCUGAUUCGUCCUAAUGUCAGCCAGCCAGUCAACAAUCCUCGCCACGUUAGCAAAUAUCAGCUAAAGCCCUCAUGGUUCAAAAUAGACCGAAAUCAAAGAGUUCGGUUUGCUAAUUUUCGGGAUUACAAGUUCAGGAUUCAAUUUAGCUUUCAUCUUCAAGUUAAAAAUUUGUUUUGGGCUUUUUACUUCUCCCUCGGCUCCCGCCAGUUCUCUCUCCCCGACUACGUCCGCUACUUCAUCUCCGAGUACAAGGAAAUCCUCGUGGUAAGAGCACGUGUACUCUCCAACUGUGCUCUCUUGGUUUCUUUUUACUCUGCGUAUAAGCUUUGUUACUGAAGCUGCUUAUAUGUGGAGUAAAAGAAAACAGAGAAUACUAAAUCAUCAGUUUAUGCGGAGUAAAAACAAGCACUAGAUGACACGUAUGCUGGAAUGUAUGUAGAGGUCGUACGAUAUGGGUGCGCGGCUGAUGACAGGGACGGGUCCAGUGGGUUGCGCGCCGGCGCAGCUCGCCUGGAGCCGUGGAGGAGGGGUGCGACGCCGACCUGAUGCUCGCCGCGGAGCUAUUCAGCCCGCCGCUGUCCCGGCCUCCCGGGUCCCGGAGGAGCUCAACACGCGAUACGGCUGCCGAACUUUCAUUGCCGCCAACACCUUCCGCAUCCAUUUCGACUUCGUCAGCGACCCGACGGCAUACGGGUUCCGGACGGCCAAGGAGGCGUGCUGUGGGCAGGGGCCCCAUGACGGGAUUGGGUUGUGCACCGCGCUAUCCAACGUCUGGACCGACAGGGAUCAUUACGUGUUCUGGGACGCCUACCACCCCACGGAGCGCGCCAACCGGAUCAUUGUCAGCCAGUUCAUGACCGGCUUCUAUGGCGCGCGUCCAGUUCCGUCUACGGCGUGCGGCGGCCAGUUUUUUUCCGUGUCCCCGCACCGCUCGUUCACGGCUCUGUGUAAGGGUUCAUGUACGUGUGUGUGCCUCGUACGUGGUUUUACUCAGUUUUCCAUGACGCGCGUCCAAUUCCGUCCGCGACGGGCGUCAGCCAGUUUUUUCCCAUGUACACAUACAACCCGUCGUUAGCCCGCUCAACCUCAGCACUACCCUCCACAUUGACGCCAGCCCAUGGUUUUGGGUACCGGGCGGUAAAUUUGGUUACUGCCCGGUAACCGCGUUUUCCGCUCCCCCACGAUAAUUGAGUAUACCGAGCAGAAAAUUUCAAACUUUUUGAAUUUAAACUCCUGACACUUUGUUAAAUAAGAUACAUUGUUAUCUAAACAACAAACAUACUUGUGGCCUAUUGGUAAGGGUGUUCAGCCAGCAACUUGGAGUCGUGUGUUCGUAGAUAGACAACCGCACUUUUUCCUUUUUGAUUUUUGAAGAAUGCACGGCACACUGUAUGUGGUAAUUUCUAAAAAAAAUAUGAGCGUCCCAGAGUCGAACUCGCUGCCUGCAUGUGCGCGGUAGUGGAGCAGCCGUGUUACCACUGCGCCACUACAAGCGCAGCAAUUAUUUCGUGUUCAAAACUUAUAUAUUCUGGCCUUAAAAAUUUUUGAAUUCAAAUUUUAAUUUUAAAUUCCGCUUGAGUUUUUUUGGAAUUUCGUGGCUACCGUGGUAACCGAGUUUACCGCCCCCACUCGAGAAAAAUGUUCCAUUCGGAAUCCAAAACCUUGCGCCGGCCUCAUAGACUGAUACACUCCACUUACUACCUAGCUACGUAUAAAGUGGCCGUUUGUGUUUAAUACAAUUAUUGAAAACUUAAACCUGAGAGAAUGCUUUUGUUGGGCUGCCCUUCUGCUACACGAAUGCAGGACGAAGGGAGACAAACUCGAGCACAGGAGUAUUUACGACGACAUACACCCGGCGUAGAACGUCGUUCUUUCUUCUUUAUAUUCGACUCACGAACAUAGAAUAUAUGGAGACUCACUCCACCUCACGGUGAGCGCACAGACACACUAGAAACAUCUUUCUCCUAUAGCGUCGUUCUUUCUUCUCUAUAUUUACAUGUGGACUCUCGGCUACACACAACGAGCACGAGAACAACUCUUAAAUAUAGCACCCACACACAAAGGGCCGUCCGCUAUGUCUAUAAAAACCUAAAAUCUUAAAAAUACGCGCUCGCUAUUACGUCGAACCAAGCGGCCACGCCUCGACUGCUCGUUCGGUGCGAAUCGUGCGCCCAUGAGAGCCAUGUGCUUUUUGUCGAUUUCGUCUGUCCCUCUCAUUUUCUUCCCAUCCCCACACCAUUCCACCGCCGCCGCUCUCCCUUUAUCCCAUCCUCCACGAAUCCAAUCUAUGCCUCCGUCACAGCAGCCUCAACCACAACCACGGUGUUGCCGGAUAGCGGCAGCGAUGACAGCUCCGCCCCGGCGCGGUUCGAGCUGCAGGAGAACCCCUUUUUCUGCUGGACACCUGCGCCGCCAUGCAUGAUCCCGGACGGAUCUGAGGAGCUCCACGCUGGAUCCGCCCGUCCCACGUCUUCAUGUGGAGCUCCGGCCCCCAGGGCGCCUUCACGACACCGGCAAGCCCUACGCCGCCUCCCCUCGCGCCCCUCAAAUCGGACGCCAUCUGGAGCAUGUGCACCACCUAUGGAGGAGGGGUAAGGGAGUAGGGGCUGCCGUGAGGUCUGGGCGUGGUUGCAACGGCUGGGGGAGGAGGAAGCACGGGCAUCGAUCUAGCCGAAGCAACCGGAGGAGAAGGAAGCAGGGGAAGGGAGCUUGUCCUCGAUGCAGCAAUACGAAGACGACAGUGGCUAGGAAAUGGAGUUCUUCGCUAACCAAAUCGCGGAAGACCGUACACACUCCGGCCUCCUCCAAUCUCUCCUUCCUGUAAUCCCCAUCUCCGUAGGUGAUGUUAUCCUGAAGCUAAAUACACUCGCAUGGCUUGGGAUUAGGAAAAAUGCUCAUAUGUGAUACUUCUAGCUUUAUAGCUCAUUGCUUGUUAAUUGAUUGCUAGCUUCUGGUCAUAUUCGAGUAGAAUUGCGUAGCAGCACAUGCUGAGUUCUAGGCACUUGAUAUCAAACAACAAUCUAUGAUUUGAUUUAGGGGCGAACAAGCAAUACUGCACACCCAUAUCUACGCAGACGGUUGAGGGAGCAGUGGCCUGGACAGCUGUCGAAGUUGCACACACACGGCAGCAUAGUCGCACAAGAACAGCCACAGAGUUGCACACUUCGGUCGACAUAGUUGCUCAUGCACGAGGUUACGAUAGUUGCACACGCCCGACGGAGUAGUUGCUCAUGACGACUGUGGAAUUGCACACCUCUAGUCGGUAUAGUUGCUCACACACGACUACGAAACUUGCACACAUGCGUCGGCAAAGUUGUUGUGUGCACGGCGGGGGGAGUUGCACAUUCUCAUUAGCAUAAUCACACGCAUAGCCACAAAGUUGUAGGUUCCCAUCGAAAAGUUGCUCCCGAACAAGGCUGCGGAAGUUGUACACGUCUGAUUGCGGAUUGCACACUAUCGUCCACAUAGUUGCACACGCACGGGUGUAAAGUUGCACACCUUUGUCGGCAUAGUCGCCCACACAAGGCUGUGGAGAUGCACACUCUCGUCAGCAUAGUCUUGCAUGCACGACCGCGGAGUUGCACUCUCGUCGGUAUAGUUGAUCACGCACGGGAUAGGAGAAUUGCAUAUCGUUUGUUAGUUGGUUGGCACGGACAACAGAUGAAGUUGCACAUCGUUGGUUAGUCAGUUGACACGGUCAACAAAUGAAGGUGCACAUCUCACUGCCAAGAAUAAUUAGGAGUGAUGAAAAAUGCACAUCCACGCAGUAAGAGGGUAGUUGCACAUCGACUGCAAGGCAUUUGGCGGGCAGAAGAUGGAAUUGCACAACGACUACAAGGCAUUUGGCGGGCAGAAGACGGAGUAGCACAUCGGCUGCUAGGUAGGUGGAGGGGGAGUAGAUAAAGUUGCACAUCGUUUGUUAAUCAGUUGGCGCGUACAGCAAAUAAAGUUGCACAUCUCACUGACAUGGAUAAUUUGGGAGGUGAACAAUGCACAUCCACAAGGUAGGGUAAAAGUUGCACAUCAACUACUAGGCAGUUGGCCAAGCAGUACAUGAAGUUGCACAUCGUUUGAUAGGCAAGUGGAUGGGACAACAAAUGAAGUUGCUCAUCUGGUGACGUUGGUUCAUGUAGCACUAAAAUUACACCCAUGCAAAAUUAUAGUUGGUUGUGGUAACACCAAAGUUAUUUAAAAAAAGUUGUAUCCCAUGGUAUAAAAUUUGCACCAUGUAGUAAAAUCAGUUGGCAGUGAAAAAAGUUCAUGGAAACAUAUAUAAAUGGGGUCUAGUUUUAAAGAUCUUGUCACGAGGGUUCCAACAAUGUAAACGAAUAUUCAUUUCGACAUGUAGUUCAAAAGUUAUAGCUUUUUGAAUUUUUUGAAAUGCAAUUAAUUGUCUUUUUGCUUUACUACUGCAGAGCAUAUGUAAAAGAAGUGGGGCCAGCCUGAAGUAGAGAAAAGAAGGCACGUGCACUCGGUGUGCUUUUGAUUUUUGUCUUAAAUGGGAACCAGGUGGACAGACAUAUGAUGUGCGGACUUUCCUUAUCAAAACAUGGGACACUAAUUUUCCUCAUACGGCCGGCUGCCGAGGAGCGCUAGUGAGCACACGGCUGCUCGCUAGACGCAUCCCUAUAAAUAACUACCACUUUUUUAUUUUUUUAAAAACAACCAUAAAAGUGGUUCGCUGUUUCAAAAAAAAACCAAAUGACUAUUUGAUUUAGAAUUUAUCCAAUUUAUGACAGGUUGUACCCACUCCUAAGAAAACCGUUUGUUGACUGUUUGUUUGACCAUUAACUUACAUGUGGGUCCCACAUGUAAGCGCACUCUCUCUAUUCCUUAUCUUUCUUCCCUCCUUCUUCUUCCCUGACCUCUCUCCCGAGCCAUCAUAGCCGCCGCAACCAGCACCACGGCCACCGCCGACAGGGCCGGCCACCACCACGCGAUGGGGAGAGCUGCCGCCAGGGCCGGCCAUCACCACGCGAUGGGGAGCGCCGUCGCCAGGGCUGGCCACCACCACGGCCGGCGCAGCCACGGUCACUAUUGCUAGGGCCGCCCACCACCCUGCCAUGGGAAGCGCCGCCGCCAAGGCCGGCCACCACCACACCUAGCGAGCCACCGCCGCCUCCGCCUGGGCCACCCACCACCAUGCCAUGGACACGGAGAAGAUGGAAGGAGGGCGUCCAUGGCAGCACCCACGGGAGGACAGUUUGGGUGGUGGGGAUUUGCAGCGGAUAGGAGGAGGAGCUCCACGCUAUGGGGAGGCCCGUGCCGUCGCCUGCGUAGCUCCUCGUCCCUCGACGCCCGGACCGGACACCACCAGCUGGAGCAGCCGUCGACCACAGCUAGCUUGGCCAGGAGCUCGACCACGGGCGGGGAGCAGCCAUGGAGCAUGGGCGGUUCUAGCCCGCCGCCGCCGCUGGUUCCUGCCGGCCACGACUGUCUUAGCCACGCCAGAGCGACGCCGGGGGACCAGGAAAAGGUCCCUUCGUCGGCUCCGGUGACGAGCUCGCCGGCGAGGACCCGAUUUCUUUAGGGACCCGAUUGCUUUGUAUGUAUAUUUUCAGGGACCUGGUUGCUUUUAGUUUUUACUAUAGGGACCAGAUUGCAUUUCGAAAAAUAUUUGGGCCCAACCUUCCAUAACCUGUCAAUGGUCAACCUAACGGUCAACCUGACGAGUGGACCCAAGUUGUCAUAAUAACGUUUGAAGUUAAUCAAAAGAGUCAUCAGUGUGACAUGGUAGUUUUUUGGAACAGCGAACCACUUUUGUGGUAGUUUUUAAAAAAAUUAAAAAAGUGGUAUUUUUCGUAGACAUAGCCUGUAAUGUGGUAGUUUUUUGCUAUAUACUCCCGUCUGCCACACUCGACCACGCACGCAAAUAGCCAGGUAAACAAAUCAUCCCUGGUUUUGUGCCACUACCACCACGUACUAACUAUGAGCAUCUUAACCCCCCCCCCCAACAGGCCCUUUUUUAUCGUUGGCUCGAAAAAAUCGGCCCAGAUGCGCCCCUAGAAGCCCAAAUUUCUCCUGUUAGGGCCGAAAUUGGCGCCGGCAGACCAAGGCCGAACCCAUCACGCUUUAGGGCAUCCGGGGCGCCGGAGGAAACAAAUUUGGCGUGAAAACAAAAUCGUACCUCGUGGACCCGCCAAGUCAGGGGCGACGCCGAGAACCUUCGUCGUCCUCGUCGCCUAGGUUCCCGCGGGAAUCAAUGCCAAGGCUGACGCCGGUCAGCGUUCCACUAAUUCACGGGUGGCGCAGUGAAUGUGCGCAGCCGCACGUCCCGCCGUUCCCGCCAUGUGUCCACACUGUUGUUGUCCGCUCGCCACCCUCUCGCCGUUGGCCGCACACUUGCCUCGCCACAGCCUCUCUCUCUCUCGCCGCCGAUGCCCCUCUCCCCUUCGCCACCGAUGCCCUCUCUCUCCCCGUCUCAAGCCCGCGGCCGAUGGCGGUGAGGUUCCCCGGUGACGGAGCGGCGGCCAACGGCUUCGGACCCCGCCAUCUACACGAGUGGGAGGCGCUCCUCCUCUAAAAGGCUAACUACCCGGCGCUGCUAGACAUGCGCGUGCUGGGCUCAUGGAGGCUCAGCGCCGACAGCGUCCCCGUGCCCUCGCCGCCCUCCGGCACUGAACAUCGUGCCGAGAUCGCGCGUAUUCGGGCGGCGCUGCCGGAGGAAGCGUGACAGCAACCGAGUAAGCCCUCGACAGCCAUGCGUUGUGGAUGGCGUACUUCUAGCACCGCCACACCGACCAGUGGUGGCAGUCCUCGGGCACACGCUUCACGUUGUCCUCGAGCGCAUCAGGGCAGCAACGCGCCGGCGCUGGAGUACCCGGCGCCAUCUUUCUCGCGCCGGAGCGGCAGCACGUGGCUGCCGCGGCGCAUGGCAGGGGCGUUGUCCUCUUCCUCCGGCUCCCACUCCUCCGGCACGACGACGCCGCUCGCCGUGGUCAAGGCCGAGCCCCAGGAGACGCCGGAGCGCUUGCACAGCCGGGGCGGCUCCUCGUCAUAAACAAGGGCCGCCGCCUACCUUCCCCUCCUCCUCACAGCCAUCUUCGCUUGGUCACGCCGAAGAAGGAGCUAGCGCCGCCACCCGUCGUCGUCAAGCAAGAGCAUGUCGACAUGGCCGACGACCUCGAAAUCAGCCUCAAAUGGGCGCGGGACGACUACGUCCGGGAGGAGAUGGAGCGCCAGCACCGCGCCCUCGAGGAGAUCGCUGCUAGGCGCCGCAGCUGCGAGGAGGGCGGUGUCAUCGUCCUCGAGGACAACGACGAGGAGGCGUCGGCGCCGACCAACCCUGUCGACCACGGCGACCCAGGACAGGGCUGCAGCAAGGACGGCGGCGGCGGCGUCGUGCAAGGACGACGACGAUGACGGCGGUGGCGGCGACAGCGACGGCGGCAAGUACACGGCCUUCUACAAGCUCAUCGGCAUGCAGUAGGCUCGGGGCGGUGAUGGCGGCGUACUUUCUCUAAGUUUUUUAGUUAUGUGUAUGUAUUAUUUUGUACAAAUAUCAAUGUAAACCACCUGAACUUUGUCCAAACUCGUUAAUUUUCUUCCAAAUCUAGUCGAAUUUGUAUUUGAAAAAAACGACUUCUUGGGCGAUCUUAGGGCGGCGACUGGGAAACCGAGGGGGGGGGGGCGACUAGAGAUGCUCUAACCCAUGCAUGCACUGCUAGCUAACUACAUGCACGUAUGACCCGGUCACCACAACUGGCCACUAACUCACGGCCGCCUAAUCAGCUAACAACUAAUGCAUGCGCCAACCCAUGAGGGACGGGGCUUGCCUGCUCCCGUCCCGUGCUCCCAUCGGUGCUCCCGAAACGUUAAACUCACAUCGAACGGCUGGGCCAAUUUCCCUUCCCCACGUCCUUUUUCUGGCGCAAAAAACAAGGAAACCACCACGUAUCCCGUAUUUUACUCUCCCGCACGUAAUACUCGCGACUGAUUCUAUAUGGAAAAGGCCCGCACAAAAAUCUGGAGGGAAAAUGACCACCAAUCUCACUUCUGCGCGCCAAAAAGCAGGGACGCCCAUUCCAUAAAACAGAGGUAUCUUAAAUCACAGGAAGAAGAAAAAUUGCAAUCGCAGCUGAUUGUGAUGAAUUAAUUUCAGGGAGAACAUCAACUGUGCAAACAUCAAACGGACUGGGGCUCUAUUGUCCCCUAUGGCUUCUUCUUCAAGCACGGACUAUGGGACCCAUCAACAGGACAAUGAAUCUGAAGGACGAAAAGUAAGAAAUCUGACUCAUAUUCUUCUUGAUCUCUUUUUUUUUUUUUUUUGAAGAGAGGCAAAAGAUUUGCCUCAUUUAUUAAAUAAGAGGAAUAGAGUUUAUGUUCGUGUUACAACACUGACAGCGCCGCAACACCAGAAAUAAAGGUGACCAACUACUCUCGCGUCAUCAAGUAUCCCAACUUUCUUGCACCCGCUGAUACCCAAAGCGUGGCCUCCUUCUUAAUGUUGGCGAGUAGAACCGUCGGCGGAGCACUCUUCUGACGGAACACUCGCGCAUUCCUCUCGUUCCAAAUGGUCCAGGCGACUAGCAUGGUGAGCGAGGCCAUCGCCUUCCUGUUGGGGAUAGAUGUGUCGGAGAGGCCCACCCACCACUCUUCGAUGUUGCCUGAGAGGUGCCAUGAGGAAGUAUCAAUGCUCACCAGUUGCAGCCAGUCCUUGACUAAUCCCCAUAGGCGGAUAGAGAAGCGGCAUUUGUAGAAAAGGUGGUCAACAGACUCUUGCUCCUGCUUGCAAAGUGUACAAAGGCCACAGUUUGGCCAUCCGCGCUUCUCCAAUCUGUCUGCCGUCCAAAUUCUGUUUUGAAUAGCCAGCCAAGCGAAGAACUUGACUUUGGGGGGAGCCCAAGCCCUCCACACAGUGUGCUCCAUAGGGGAUUUGAUUGUGCCACAGAAUUGCGCUUUGUAUGCCGACUCGGCCGUGUAUUGCCCGCUAGCGGUGUGCUUCCAUACAAUAUCAUCUUCGGCAUCCUCCUCGAGAUGGAAGCCACGAAGCGUUGUCCAGAGGGUGACAAACUGACGUAAGUGAUUCAGCGAAAAAGAGUCUGGGAUGCGUAUUCUCGAGACCCACGCAUCGUUGCUGAGAGCUUCGCGCACCUUCCAAUUUUUCCUCGUGGACGCCUCGUAAAUUAGUGGUGCAAUGUCCCUAGGCUUGCGGUCAUUCACCCAUGGCGCAUCCCAAAAAGGCGUCCUUGCUCCAUUUUCAACAAAGAUUGACGUGGAGGCAUAAAACAAGGAGUAGUCCAUCGUGUUGCACGGGUUUCCCAUACCCACCCAAAGCUUGGUGGGCUCUUUCCAUUCAAACCAUAACCAGCGCAAGCGAAGAGCCCGAGCAAAUUUCUCCGUGUUAAGUAUGCCAAGGCCACCAAGAUCCUUUGGCCGGCACACCGCAUCCCAAUUCACCUUGCAUUUUGCACCAGUGGUCUUGUCCGUGCCCUCCCAGAGAAAGGCUCUUUCGAGCUUGUUUAUGUUGUGUAGAGUGGACGUUGGCACAAUGAGUGGCGUGAUGGAGAAGACGAGCUGCGAAGACAGCACCGACUUCACAAGGGCACAUCGACCAAUGGCAGUGAUAUUUUGGCCAUCCCAAGUGGUCAACUUAGCGGCCGCUUUGUCCUCUAGGUACUGGUAGUCGACCUUUCUAAGCUUCCACACCGAGAGAGGAAGCCCCAAGUAUUUCAUUGGAAACGAAGCCCGUGACGCGGGAAGGGCCUGAAGUAUUUCUUGAUCUCUUUUCGUUGUUCCUGCCCUUCUUGUUGAACUGGUUGCUUUUCCCUGUUAACAAACAAAUCAACCAAUCAUGAUUGUAUAAGAUCUAUUCAAAUCUGAUUAAAACUACUGUACAACCAUGUCUGGGCAUAGCAGUUUUGCACAACUUAGUUUGUUAGAUGAUUCAUGUAAUUUCGACUGUACAAGUUAUAUACUAUGCUACUAGUUGCACACAGUAUUUUCAAACUAAGACUUACAUUUAACUUUAUGGUUGCAGGUACAAACAUUGACUCUAGUAGAGUUUCAAAACAUAACGAGGGGCUUGAAAGGCCAAAAGGUAUGAAGGUCAAGGAGAAGACUGCACGAGGAUCAGCAAGGCCUAUUGGUGGCUUGGAGAAAGCAAAAACAAAGAAGAAAAAGAAGAUAGAUGAUUCUUUCCAACUACAACCUGAAAUGCCUUUCACAAAUCAAAUGUUUGUGUAUAACCCAAUGUUAAUGGUAUAAGAACUCUACCCAUUUAACUUUCUCUUAUUUUCAAAAUUCAAUGACGCUAAGCUUUGCUAUUAAUCUUCUUAGGGUCAUUUGGGAGAAAAUAUUGAAAUGCCUUUCACAAAUCAGAUGUCUACACAUAACCCAAUGUUAAUGGUAUAAAAAGUCUACACAUAUACCUUUCUCUCAUUUUCAAACUACAAUGAUGCUAAGCUUUGCUAUUAAUCUUCUUAGGGUCAUUUGGGAGAAAGUAUUAUACCAGGAUCAGCAAGAUCCGUUGGUGGCUCGGAGAAAGCAAAAACGAAGAAGAAAAAGAAGACAGCCAAUUUUUUACAACUACGACCUGAAAUGCCUUCUGCAAACCAAAUGCAUGUGUAUCUACCACAGUACAACCAAACCCAAAUGGUAAAAGAAGUCUUCUUUUUAACUUCUUUUCAUUUUCAAUCCUCUGCGACCUAAGCUUUGCUAUUUACUUGCAUAGGGUCAUAUGGGAGCUCCGGCCAAUCUUGUACACCCCUAUUUAGCACAUUACAACUCAAGUCUGCGACAAUCCAUUGGUACCUCUACCCCUACGAUGAUGUCAGGACAAAAUCUAUCAUUUCCCAACAACAGACUCCUACAAGUGGUACCUCUACCCCUAUGAUGAUGCCAGGACAGAAUAUAUCACUCCUGCAACAACAGACUCCUAUGAGUGGUACCUCUACCCCUUUGAUGAUGCCAGGAGAGAACCUAUCAUUCCUCCAACAACAGACUCCUACGAGUGGUACUUCUACCCCUGUGAUGAUGCCAGGACAGAAUCUACUAUUCUUCCAUCAACAGAAGCCGGCUUAAUUGAUGUUACAGAUUUUUAUCUCAUGUAUUUGCUUGCAAUUCUAUUAGAACCUAUGAGUAUACGACCAUGCUUGCAAUUCUUACUUGUUCAUGUGACUGUCGAUGGAAUGCAACAAAUUCUUUCUACCUUUCAUGCACUGUAAAUAUUGUCAACUCGUUCACCGGUGUACUCCAUCUAAAGACGUGUCGCAAAACAAUGAUAACACCCAACUUCUGUAAAAUCGAUAACAGUUUUGUGAUUUCUAGUAUGCCUACUGCUAAACAAGCAAUAUGAACUAUGUUUUUGUAAGAAUACUUUGCAUCAGGUACAAACUGUAGUACAACCAACAUCCAACGGCAUAGAUUUUAUAUCUAACCUCACAAGCAGAACUGUAGUUAAUCACUGUGACAACGCCGGCGUUGACAUUGUUGACCCACGUCUUCUGGCCUCAUGCUGUCUGUAAAUAUCACCAACAUCAGCUAAUUAAAAUUCAGUUCAUUCAACCAGUAGAGAACAUGCUAAAAAUUUUGUGCUAGACAAUCCCAUCAGAGAGGGUCACUCACCGAGCAUGGCGACCUCGGCGGGCGUGAGCAGAGUUCUCACCAAUACUUAAUGAAAGAGAUCCUUAUAGUACUAGCAUACGCCUGCUCAAAUAGUAUCAUACAAAUGAAUGAGUUGCAGUUGAUACAUAUCCAGACUCAAACAUGAGGCUAGCAUUAGUACAGACCAAACAGUUUCAUUAGUACGUCUCACAAAACUACGGUCAACUCAAGGCCUGUGAGAUCUGCCGUCUUUCAGCUGUAGAAUAGUUGACCGCCUCAAUUUAGUGAUCAGUAGCACGGCGUCCGCGUCCGCCUCUGCUGCUACUUAGCUUCUACUGGUGCUAUACUAGCAGGGAACACGCGCGAAGGCGCUGCGAGGAAGCCAAGUCGCCGCCGGCGACAGCUGCCACGGUGGCCACGGUCUAGGCGUCGACGGCCGCCGCGACCGUUGCCUCGUCGGUGAUGGACAGGCGGCGCCGCCUCAAUUUGGUCUGAGAAUAAAUCCAAUUAGCAGACAACAAAUUAGAAGAAGGAAGAAACAAACUGGAUUGAACAGGGAGGGGUCAAGGUCAGCAAGCAGGAGGAGCAAAACCAGGAGGCGGAGGUGGUCUUGAGAUUGGAGAGGGCCGGCAUCUGCGACGGGGGUGGCGCCACACCUGCUCCAGGCCAUGGCCUAGGUCCGAUCUGAUUCAAUCUUGAGCUUGUGCAAUAGCUGCCUGCUUGGCUGCGGCGGCAAAGUGAGCGGCGGGGAGGGACGGGAAGUGCGGCGACGGGAGCAGAGGGCGGUCGCUGGAUUCACUCGAUGCCUUCGCUCCCCGUGGACCACGGUCGGCUGUCGGAAGUGAGAGCAAAAGGGGAAGAAAGGGGAGGAAGGGGAAUACGUAUGGGAGGAGGGGACGGAAUACGGGAGCUCCGCGAAUUGUUUCCUCAGAAAAAAUAGACGACGGGGAAUAAAAAAGGCCCAGCCGUUCGAUGCGAGUUUAACGUUUCGGGAGCACCGAUGGGAGCACGGGACGGGAGACGCCGGAGCGCUUGCACAGCCGGGGCGGCUCCUCGUCAUAAACAAGGGCCGCCGCCUACCUUCCCCUCCUCCUCACAGCCAUCUUCGCUUGGUCACGCCGAAGAAGGAGCUAGCGCCGCCACCCGUCGUCGUCAAGCAAGAGCAUGUCGACAUGGCCGCCGACCUCGAAAUCAGCCUCAAAUGGGCGCGGGACGACUACGUCCGGGAGGAGAUGGAGCGCCAGCACCGCGCCCUCGAGGAGAUCGCUGCUAGGCACCGCAGCUACGAGGAGGGCGGUGUCAUCGUCCUCGAGGACAACGACGAGGAGGCGUCGGCGCCGACCAACCCUGUCGACCACGGCGACCCAGGACAGGGCUGCAGCAAGGACGGCGGCGGCGGCGGCGUGCAAGGACGACGACGAUGACGGCGGUGGCGGCGACAGCGACGGCGGCAAGUACACGGCCUUCUACAAGCUCAUCGGCAUGCAGUAGGCUCGGGGCGGUGAUGGCGGCGUACUUUCUCUAAAUUUUUUAGUUAUGUGUAUGUAUUAUUUUGUACAAAUAUCAAUGUAAACCACCUGAACUUUGUCCAAACUCGUUAAUUUUCUUCCAAAUCUAGUCGAAUUUGUAUUUGAAAAAAACGACUUCUUGGGCGAUCUUAGGGCGGCGACUGGGAAACCGAGGGGGUGGGGGCGACUAGAGAUGCUCUAACCCACGCAUGCACUGCUAGCUAACUACAUGCACGUAUGACCCGGUCACCACAACUGGCCACUAACUCACGGCCGCCUAAUCAGCUAACAACUAAUGCAUGCGCCAACCCAUGAGGUACUACAUUCUAUCCAUGCUAGCAAAGAGCAGAGUUUAGUGCUUAAGUAUGAAAAGGCUUGUGAUUUUGUAAACCUGGAUUUCCUCAUUGAACUCCUCUCCUUGAGGAGUUUUGGGGAUAAAUGGAUCUCCUGGAUUCUAGCAAUUACUAAAAAGGAGGGUCUGUGGGAGUCAAGAUCAAUGGUUUCAAAAGUGAUUUCUUUACUACUAGUAAGGGAAUUAAGCAGGGGGACCCUAUCUCCCCCUGCUCUUUAACCUUGUAGUAGAUGUCCUUUCUAGCUAGGAUGCUUAUGAAAGCAGCCGCUGAGGGCCUAAUUAAAGGCCUUUGCUCUGCCAUUUGCCAAGGAGGGGUCAUCUGCUUUCAGUAUGUUGAUGACACUAUUCUCUUUCGAGAGAAUAACUUGGAUAGAGUGAGGAACCUUAAGAUGGUUCUCACCUGUUUUCAGCAGGUCUCUGGGAUGAAAAUCAGUUACACUAAAAGUGAGUUGAUCCCCGUUAACAUGGAAGACCUUGCCCUUUGUAGAAUCUCUAGAGUGUAAACAAGGAUGUUUCCCCAACAAAUACCUUGGAAUACCUCUGCACUAUGACAAAUUAAGAAGAGAGGUCAUCCUACCUUUAAUAGAUAAAAUCCUUAAAAGGAUAACAGGAUGGAGAGGGGAACUACUCUCUUAUAAAGGCAUACCAGUUUAUCUUUUAUCCUUCUUUAAAUUCCCCAAAUGGACCAUUGAGCUAAUUAACACACCCAAAUAGCAAACUGUUUGUGGAAUGACUUUGACGGGAAUAGGAAAAUCCAUCUAGCUAACUGGAGACUUGUCUGUCUGGAAAAAGAGUUUGGUGGCUUAGGUAUUCCUAACCUUCAAGAACUCAAUAUUUUUCUUUUGGGCCCUUGGAUCAAGAGCUAUCAUGAGGGUGAGGACAAGCUCUGGAAAAACAUGAUUGACCAUAAAUAUAACAAUAGUAACCCAAAUAUUUUCAACUGCUCAGCUACCCCCUCAUCAUCCAGGUUUUGGAAGGGAGUGAUGGGUGUAGCCAAAACAGUCAAGUUUGGUUUUACAUGGAAGGUGGGUAACGGGGCUAAGGUGAGAUUCUUGGAAGACACAUGGUUUGGACAUCUCACCUAGCAAUCCAAUAUUGGCCCCUGUACAUUGUCUGUAACCAGACUUCGAAAAGCAUUAGUGACAUCUGGGACAAUGGCCAGAUCAAACUAACGUUUAGAAGGAAUUUCUUUGACAAUAUGAUGGAGGAUUAGCUCCAACUUGUGGUAAUUGUCCAUAGUGUACUGCUUACUGAUGAACCUGAUGCUUUAGUUUGGCAGUAUGAAAGCAAUGGGAAAUUUUCCAGCAGUUCUCUCUAUCAUAUAAUUAAUUUUAGAGGGGUCAAACCUGUUUACAUUCCUGCUGUUUGGAAAUUACAUGUUCCCCCAAGAUUCAUGUAUUUCUUUGGCUGAUCCAAGUUAUGACCAGAGACAACCUUAGGAAAAGGCAGAUCAUCAAGCCAUUAGACUGUGUAUUUUGUUCUGAAACUGAAACUGUUCACCAUCUUUUCUUUGAUUGUGUGGUAUCUAAAUUUGUGUGGAUAGUCAUUAGAGAACAUUUCAAAGUAAAUGUACGUACUGAUUAUUUGUCUGUCUCCAAAUUUUGGCUCUCAAAGAAAAAAAGAUCUUCUCUUAAUGUUGCAUGUGCACUUACCAUGUGGUGCAUAUGGAAGAUUAGGAAUUCCAUUAUCUUUAACAAUACCACGUGGAUUUCUGUCAAACAGGUCCUAGGGAAGAUGCUGAGUUUGACCAAGAUCUGGGCGAUCCUAGCUCCGGAUCAGGAGAGGGAAGUUUUGGGAAACUUCUUGAGCUUCUUAAAGGAAAAAGUGAAGGCGCCGUUGACCAUGAAGAGUGGCUGAGCUGGGACAAGCUACAAAUUGCAAGCGUUGAUUCGGAAUCGGGCUCCCCCACCUCUACUCCCAGCAAGCUUGCUUCUGGCGUCGAGACCACCAUUCCUGCGUCCGUGGAGUCAAUUGCAAAAAUCUACCACAUUUGCGGCUAGGUUUGCGGAAAACCACCAAGUCGCUAAUCCGUUGCAAAAAACAUAUUGAUUUCACUAAACUCUUUGCAAAAAGCACUGAUCGAGUGAUUUGGCUCGUUUGAUCACUUUCUGACAAGUGGGACCAGAUUGUUAGGAGAUGUGUUAGCAAAAAUAUUACAUACACCCCCCUCGGUCUAAAAAUAACAAGCAAUCAGCCCCAACUCCCAAUCCCCUGCCCCCGAUCUGACCGGGAGGAGGCAACCACUGCGUGCCCUCGCAGCAGACCACGCCACCGCCGUCGGCUCCCGCCGCCGCGCCGUAAGCCCACCCGCCACCAUCCCUCCAUGGCGCGGAAGCCUUGAGCAGCCGUGCCCUGCUCUUACCCGAGGACAUCUUGAGCCGUCGUGCGCAGAUCAAAUGAGGGCCUCGUCCACUUGCUCGGAUCCAUCAUCUUUGAGCUCGGUUGCAGCCGGAUCCGCCGAUAUGAGGUGCUGCAGCGCUGGCGUCGGCGCCCUUCACCUGGAAGAAGUUGAGGUAGGGCGCCCUCAACUUCCGCGCUAGCGUCGGCGCCCUCUGGUUCGAGCUCGUCCUCCUUCGUGGAGAAGGGCGACGCCGCGACGGAAACGUCUUGUCGAGCAGGUGGAUUCAGCUCGUCACCUCCUCCCCAUCCACCCCUGCCCUUGACCACAUCUUGUCGAGUAGAACUGCUGCCCCAUCCGCCUCGGUUCCCGCCGCGUGCUCAACGGCGACGGCCCGGCCGCCACCGUCGCUGCAGCACCGGCAGGCCAACGCCUCGGAAAUGCACGCACUGCAGCCGCCUCCUCGUCAUUCGCUAUGGCCGUAGCCGUCUCCGACGCCGACGACGGCGUCACUGUGCGCACGGGACGGCAGGGCCAGUGCACAGCGGUUGUCCACACCGGGGAUCUGAUUGCGUUUUUUGUAAAUAUCUAGGGGUGUGUGUGCUAAUUUUUUGCCAGUUAAGCUCCUUACAAUCCGGCCCCACUUGUCAGAAAGUGAUCAAACGAGCCAAAUCACUCGAUCAGUGUUUUUUGCAAAGAGUUUAGUGAAAUCACGGUGUUUUUUGCAACGGAUUAGCGACUUGAUGGUUUUUCGCAAACCUAGCCGCAAAUGUGGUAGUUUUUUGCAAUUGACUCGCAUCCGUGCUUCAGCAGACAUGGUCCCUGCAGCCCACUGCCGCCCCUCCUUUGAAGGCCAGGAGGGCCCUCUGCGUCUUGGACUUGCUCUACACCUGAACGAGGAGCUGUUUCCCCUAAAUAGCUUUACCUAGGUGUAGCAUUGCUCAUAGCAAAGAGCUGUAACGCAUCAUGAAAAUUGCCUUCUGCUUAGCCUCUGGCCCUGGCUUGUAAAACUAAUCUGGUAAUUUUCUAGCGGUACUUUGCAGGAGGUAGCAAUUAGGGAGUGGUUGUUUUUGCGACUUUGGCAACAACCUGAACAUGGUGGUUUUGUUAUAUAUAAUAGUAUAAUGGAGCCGGGGACUUGGUCCCUUUCCCUCUAAAAAAACUUACAUGUGUGACAGUACGAGUUUAAAUGCUAAAAACCGGAUCUUCACAAUGCAUGAGAAAUUUACGCGGGAAGAAUUAAUGCGCAUGAUUGUUACUCUUUGGGCAAUUUGGGGAUCAAGACGUAAAGCCAUUCUUGAGGAUAUAUGUGACAGCCUUAUGCAGAUCUAUCUUUUCAUCAAUGCUUAUAUACAGAUACUAUCAACACGGCCGCCCAGGUCAACUCUUUGGCAACCUCUGCCACAGGAGCACGUGAAGUUUAAUGUUGAUGCCGCUGUUUCAAGUGGAAAUUUUGGUGCGGUUGGAGUAAUAUGCAGGGACGUGGCUGGCACUUUCCUAGGUGCCUCUUCUUUUACCUUCCAACACAUAUUUGAUCCUGUUGCAUUGGAAGCAUUGGCGGUAAGAGAGGUACUGGCGCUCGCGGAGGAUUUAUAUGUACAUAAGAUACAAGUGGCGUCUGAUUGCAAGAUCGCGGUGGAUAAAACAAUGCAAGGUACGGCGGCGAAUCAUGCAACAAUCGUACAUGAAAGCAUAGAAAGAUCAAAUGCUUUUACUGCUUGUAAUUUUGUUCAGCAGUUUAGGAGCUCGAAUUCCAAGGCUCACAGUCUCGUUAGGCAUGCACUUUCGCUCGGGUUAGGCCGUGUGUCUGGUUAGACCUCCCUGGAGAUUUGAACUUUAUCCCCAUAAAUGUUGCGACAAUUUAAAUAAAGCUUGACAAGAAUGUCUCUAAAGAAAAAAUUCGUAACUUUACAUAAAUAAUUUAUGUAGGUGUACCAAAUAGGGCUGGAAAAAAAGCUUGAAGCUCGCUAGCUAAACGAGUAGCUCGUGACUCGGCUCGAAUCGACUCGAACUCGAAGAAUAACGAGUCGAGUCGAGCUUUAGUUUAAGAUCGUUUAUAGACCAAGUUAAACGAGUCAAUCUCACAAGUACUAGUGUAACUCGUUAGGCUCGAUAUAAAAGAUCAGCCAUUUCAAAUCCUAAAAAAAAAAGAUAAGCCAGUCAGCACCCUGCGUCCCAGGCGCACAACACAAGGCCCAGCAGCCUAGGAGAGUCAUGCAUUACAAGGAAAUUACAAUUGUUUAAUGAUAUAUAUGUUUAAUAUAUACAUAAUUAUUUUUAUCAUAUUUGAGGGUUUUAUGUUCAUAUCUUUAACGAGCUUAACAAGCUAAACGAGCCAACACACGAGUUAUGCGAGUCGAGCCAAUCUUGGGUUUAAGCUCGUUAUAGUAACAAGUCGAGUUGAGCUAGCUCGUUAACGAAACGAGCUCUAGCGAGUUGAGCCGAGCUGGCUCGGCUUGGCUCGAAUUUCAGCCCCAGUAGCAAAGCUUCCUAGAAUCCUGGUCUUAAAGAAGAGGGAAAUGAUGAUAUGGCUAUUCCCUGAUAGAUGAAUGCCUACGGGUUUACGGGAAACGGGGCCAUGCCAUCCGGAACGAUAGACCCGGAUGAGAUAAGGAUGUACGUGGAUGCGUCGUCCCACUCGAGACGCGCGUAUGUAUUAGGCUACCGGCGCGUGGCUCGGCCGGUCGGCGGGCAGGAAACGUUUACGAAAAAUCUAUUCUCUUCCUUCAGAGAGUAGGACGUACGUUCGUGUCACCACUUGGAGGUUUCUGAAUAAGUAUGGACUAAAAGGGAUGUCUUGCUCUUGCUGCAAUCUCCAGCCUUGUAGCUAUAAAGCCAGCUGAGCUGCUGCGUAGAAGAAACAGUCAGUGAAGCAUCCUCUCGUGUAGGAAGCGCUGCGCGGUCGUGAUGGUUCAUCCGUUGCAUGCCCUCCAUGAGCUGCUACUGCAAGCGAGGUCUCCACAUGCAGCCCUGGGACUGGUCUUUGUCCUGCUCGUCUGCCCUCUCCUCGCCCUCCUGGUCGUGCGCCGCCUCGCGACGCCGUCGACGGCCGCGGCCACCGCGAGAGCCAGAGAAGAGCUGCUGGGCAGGCUGCCCUCUCCUCCCAGUAGGCUCCCCAUCAUCGGCCACAUGCACCUCGUCGGCUCCCUCCCGCACAUCUCCCUCCGCGACCUCGCCGCCAAGCACGGCCGCGACGGCCUCAUGCUCCUCCGCCUGGGCGCCGUCCCGACGCUCGUCGUCUCGUCGCCCAGCGCCGCGGAGGCCGUGCUGCGCACGCACGACCACGUCUUCGCGUCCCGGCCCUACUCCGCCGUCACCGAAAUCCUCUUCUACGGCCCCACGGACGCCGCCUUCUCCCCCUACGGCGAGCACUGGCGACAGGUCAAGAAGAUCGCCACCACGCACCUUCUCACCAACAGGAAGGUCCGCUCCUACCGCUAUGCCCGCGAACACGAGGUGGGUAACCAUGCAUCAAUUUCUUCUGCAUGUUUGCUAUCUUUUCAGUUGCUUGAAUUAUUUAGCAGCUAGAUGUAACAUUAUUCAUUAUUUAGCUACUUCCUCCGUUCACAAUCAUAAAAGGUUCUAACUUUUUCUGAAUUGAAUGUAUGUAGACAUGAUUUACUGUGUAUGAUCACUAAUUUCAAUCUGUAUGUAGUCUAUAUUAAAAUAUCCAAACAUCUUAUAUAUUUACAUCAGUUAAUUUAGUCUAAUUCAAAGAUAAUAUUGUUUUAAUCACUAUACAUUUUUCAAAUCACUAAAAAUAUAUAUUUCAAAAUUGAAUUUUACUCACUUUAAAAAACUAUUUUCACUCAGUUCAUGAAAUGGAUUUCAAUUUUUCAAAAAACGGUUUCAAUUACUAUUUCAAAUGACCGACUUCAAAAUUUUCAAUUUUUUUAGUUAUUUCAUAAAACAUAUUUAAAUUAUUUCAAACAAUUGAUUUCAAUUAUUAUUCAAAAGGCAUGUUUCACUGAUUUUGAAUCUCCAUUUCAAUAUUUCAAAAAGUGAUCUUAGUUAUUUCAUAAAAUCUAUUUGAAGUAUUCCAAACGAUUGAUUUCACUUAUUAUUCGAAAUGGCCAGUUUCAGUUACUUUAGAACUCCAUUUCAAUAUUUCAAAAGAGUGAUUUCAAUUUCUUCAAAAUACUUACUUAAAUAGUUACAAAAUGCCGAUGAUUUGAAAAUGCCCAUGUAAAUUGUUUCAAAUGAUCAGUUUCAAUUAUUUCAGAUGAUCAAUUUCAAUGAAAUUGAUAUUAAUUCCAAAAAAAUAUUUCUGCUAUUUCAAUUUCAUAUUUGGAAAAAAUAGGAAAAGUGAUUAUUUCAACUUGCUUGUUUCAUAAAAAAAUACAUCUAUUUCAAUUCCAUAUUUUUUCAAUAAUCAAUUUCACUCUUUUUAAAAUAAUCAAUUCCACAUUUUUCAAAUAAUCAGUUUCACAAAGAUGCAUUACAAUUUCAAUGACAGAAAUACAAAAAUCUUUCCAUCAACUAUUACUGAAGUGAAAUCUGAAUAAACACAAUAUAGGCAUUUCAGUUACAUAAAUCCACCAUUAUAUUACUUUCUGUGACACUAUUUCAUAAAUUAGUUUCACAUGUUGUAGAAAACUGAUUUAAUAUAUUUCCCAACAGUUACGUUCAUAUAUCACACAUAUUUUCAGAACAGUUCAACUAUUUCAAUUACAUUGCAGAACUAAUUUUCCAUUAAACAAUAAUCGACAAAUCCUAAUCAUACAAAUCAAAUAACAAAUACUACCUCUGUAAACUAAUAUAAAACAUGUUAGAUCACUAAUUCGGUUCAUCGUCCACUAAGUGGCAAAAUCAUAUACUAAGCUCCAGAUUAACACAAAACACGGUUACCCGGGAGGACAAAUCACAGGAAAAGGUGGGUUCCCCAGUGCCCUUCGGCAUCCAUGGCGGUGCCCAUGCUUCAGAUCUGGCUGGUGGGGAGAGGAGAGCUAAAAGGAUGGCGAUGGUCGAGGAGAUGUGGCCGACGGAGACUGGAGCAGAUGUGGUGGACAAUGACCAAAUCCGGCUAGCCAAGGCGAGGAUCCAACAGAUCUGGAACCAGGACCCCCGAAUGAGCUUUGUGUUGUGCCGCUGGUCGCUGCUGGCCUCCACGGGUGUCUAGGUGUCACCGCACAUCCGCUCGUCUCUGGUCAUUAUGGGUCCUUGCGCUCGCGUCAUAGCUACCGCGUCGGUAGAGCCGGAUUUAGCAUCGGCCGGCAAGCCGCUGCCAACCGCUGGUUUUGGAUCGAGAGGUGAAGCGCUGGUGGAUCAAGUGAAUAUUGUGUAGAGAGAGGUAGUGGGUACUGUAUUUAGGAUAAGUAUUGGUUUUUCUUUUUUUUUCGGGAAGGGAUGGUAUAGGUUUUGUUUAGCUAAAAACGAGGAAUAAUAGCUGGCAAAUACACAAAUUUUGAAAUAGUUGCAAACAACGGAUUUUUGACCACUACGCGCCGGCGCUGCUAGAAAGAGGUUUGCGCACAUGGAUAUGAUCACUCGUGUGUGUGAAAGAGAGGGGAUUUUUGUUUAUUGUUCAUCUCGAACAUUAUUGUUGCGUUUAAUUCUUAUUGAUGCUACAAACUUAAUGUUAAUAGUAAUAACUCCUGCAAAGUAUGGACAAGUGUAAUUUCGAAAUUUCUAUGCAAUUUAAUAACACAAAAUUUAUGGUUCUUUUUCACAUCACAAACACCUGUCUUUUGUAACUCUACUCAUAUUAUACUUUUUCAUAUACAACCAUUUUACCAUUUUUUGGCUAAUCUUUACAAUUUUUUGUAUAUUAGGUUCGCUAUCCAUCUGUCAUCUUAUUUCUUAACAAAAAUGUAUACUUUGGGAGUAAAGCUACCUCCUAAUUCUUUUUCUUGCAUAACUGAAUUAUGGCCCCCUACCAAAAAAAGAUAAUCCAUCUAUUUUCAGUAUUUCCUUCUAGGGUUUUGUUUAUGUAUUCAUGUUUUUUACUAGUUAUUUAAAAAAUGGGAACUCAUGGGAAUAUGUUCCUAAUUAUUAAUUGGCCGUUGGUUUACAUGAUCAACUACAUCAAAACGGUGUCUAAGCGAUGUAAUAAAACAUGGAAUCUUUGAUCUUUUCCUUCAAGGUUGAUAUUAUUCUUUUAUGCAUAUAGUAUAUUUCUCCACUUUACAUAUUCAUUUCAAAAUGAUGGUUUGCGAAGUCUUAGGCAACUCAUGUUCUCUAUCUCAGUUGGUUUCUUCUCCAAUUAGAAUAUUUUGAGUUUUUUUUUGCAUAUUCUGAUGAUGGGUUCCAACCUGUGACACUGAUUAAUGAAGUAUUUGAGAGCUUUGAAGCAUCUUUUACAUGAGAGGAAGUAAGAGUCUCGGUCUAAGUGAUGUGACGAAUGAGUCAUCUUAUUUAUACAAAGUAUUGCAGUCUUAUUAUUGUUGUUUCGUGUUAUACCAAAGUUAUACUACUCGAUGUACUAAAUCUACCACAAUAAGCUUUUUUGUUGGUUUUCCUUUCAGGUAAUUGUGUUGAUUUUUCAUAUCAUAGUUAUAGUGCCUAUUAUUUUUCAUUGAGCAUGCUAGCCUUUUGAGCCUGAAAGAGUGGAAGUAGGCUCGCCAAUUGGGCAAAUCAUUAUUCAUAGUCUUGUUAUGGCCAAGGGACACCAUAUUUAGAAAAUUGAUAGUUCUUAAAAAGCAAAUUAAUCCAAAGGCUAGUAAAAAAGUGAUUGAAAUCUCCAAAAAAAGGCAACUUAAAUAUAGACGACUUACUUGAUUUCUAGAUAUAUUGCAGCAUUGAUAGAUGCAUGUUGUCCACAUCAUGGAUUGUGCCAAAAUUAAUCCUUUUCAAUUCACAGGUGAGAUCGGUUGUGGCUAAGAUCCGCGAUGCGGCCUCCAAAUGCACCGUCAUCGACCUGACUGACCUUCUCAAUGCCUUCACCAAUGACAUUGUGUGCGAAGCUGUGUCCGGUAGGCUUUUCAGGGAACAAAGCCAUAAAAAACUCUUCCGAGAGCUCGUCGAGGCCAACUCAUUGCUCCUGGGCGGAUUCAACCUAGAGGACUACUUCCCCAUGUUGGUGAAGAUGGACAUCAUCAAGAGGAUUGUUUGCGCCAAGGCCCAGAAGGUGAAGAAGAUGUGGGACAACCUGCUCAAUAAUAUCAUCGAUGAGCAUGCAAGCAAGUCGGUGCCAGAACACAACAGUGAGGAUAGUGACUUCACCGAUGUGUUGCUUUCUAUCCAAGAAGAGUACAAACUCACGAGAGACCAUAUUAAGGCUCAGUUAGAGGUAAGUACGUCCUCACAAACAAAAACAAAACAAUCAUACAUCCACACAUAUAGCUUAUAUGUUGUUGAUUUGAUUCUUACAUAUGGAUCCGUAUGUAUGUAGAUCAUAUUCGAAGCUGGCACAGAUACAUCAUUCAUAGUGUUGGAAUAUGCGAUGGUCCAGCUCAUGCGAAAACCCCAUCUCAUGAACAAGCUACAAGCUGAGGUGAGGAGCACUAUAACCAAGGGGAAAGAAAUAGUUACCGAAGACGAUCUGGAUAGUUUGGCCUACCUAAAGGCAGUCAUUAAAGAGACACUCCGGCUCCAUAUGCCUGGGCCACUCCUCAUACCCCACCUCUCCAUGGCCGACUGCAACAUAAAGGGCUACACGAUACCAUCAGGAAUACGUGUCAUCAUCAACAGUUGGGCUCUUGCAAGGGACCCUAGUAGUUGGGAGCAUGCGGAUGAGUUCAUGCCUGAGCGGUUUAUGGAAUGUGGUAGCGCCGCAACUAUGGACUAUAAGGGAAAUGACUUCCAAUACUUGCCCUUUGGGGCCGGGCGAAGGAUUUGCCCAGGCAUGAACUAUGCGACUGCGAGCAUUGAAAUCAUGCUAGCGAAUCUCAUGUACCACUUCAACUGGAAGCUACCAGUAGAGUUG
rnacentral:lncRNA from 1 species